CGGCAGAUGGCAGCCAUCAGAGGAACAAUGACUCCUCGUCAUUAAAGUCCUUUCCUUUUCAUGUGGACACUCACGUCUCACUUCAGCAAUGUUUAUGCGUCCAUGGGACUACUGUGAGGACCGGUCAUCAGUGCUCAGAUCAUCAUCGGUAGCACCAUCGCUCAGUAUGAAAUCCACUGGCACUACGGGCGAGUCAACAGAAUGACACAAGUCCUCUUCUGACUUGUUCAAGACAUUUGAGUGAGAAGGUCUCUCGCCUGUUCUGUCGCUCUUUGCUUUCACCCUCUUGCUCUUCCUCCUCCCAUAGUGGGUCUUCCACAUGGAUUUGACUUUUUUGAAGAUUGGCCUUAUAGCUGGUUUGGCUCCUAUACAGUCCAGGAUGGUACCAGGACAGUCCUCUAGAAGUGGGUGUAGCUUCCCUGGGUGACUUGUGAGCCACCUUUUCCAAAGGGAUGGCCUGGUGUUAAGUUCUACAGAUGGUGUCUCUUUAAGACAAUUUAGACUCAACAUCUACUGGUACUUUGGAUGAAGACCUCCUGGGUAUCCUACCUUCUGACAACGUGGGGACAACAUCUGUGGCUGCUUUGCAUGAAGACCUCCUAGAUAUCCUACCUUCUGACAACUUGGGGACAACGUCUAUGGCUGCUUUGGAUGAAGACCUCCUGGAUAUCCUACCUUCUGACAACUUGGGGACAAUGUCUAUGGCCGCUUUGGAUGAAGACCUCCUGGACAGCUGACCUUCAGAAAAUGUAGGACUAGCCUCUACGACUGCAACUGAUAAAGGCCUCUUUGCGUGCCAGUCUUCUGGUGACUGGAGUUCAACAUAAGCUCCUGCUUCUGAUGAAGGCCUCUUGACUGUUCUGACUUUAAGCAAUUUAAGGUCAGCAUCUACUACUGCAACAGAUGAAGCCCGCUUUGGUACCCUGUCUUCUGAGGACUUGCGGUCAGCAUAUGCUCUUGCUUCUGAUGACCUCUUUGGCACGCACUCCUCUGGGGACUUGCGGUCAGCAUCCUCUUGUGUAAUUGAUGAAGGCCUCUUUGGCAUGUAUUCUUCUGGGGACUUGCGCUCAGCAUCUACUACUGCAACUGAUGAAGGCCUCUUUGGCAUGUAUUCUUCUGGGGACUUGGGCUCAGCAUCUACUACUGCAACUGAUGAAUGCCUCUUUGGUAACCAGUCUUCUGGGGACUUGCGGCCAGCAUCUGCUACUGCAACCAAUGGAGGCCUCUUUGGCACGUAGUCUUCUGGGGACUUGCAGUCAGCGUUGUCUACUACUACUGCAACCGAUGAAGGCCUCUCUGGUACCCAGUCUUCUGGGGACUUGCGGUCAGCAUCUACUAUUGCAACCGAUGAAGGCCUCUUUGGUACCCAGUCUUCUGGAGACUUGAGAUCAGCAUAUGCCCCCGCUUCCGAUGAAGGUCUUUUUGAGAUCCAGUCCUCUGGGGACCAAUGAUCAGCCUCUACUAUUGCAACUGAUGAAGGCCUCUUUGGUACCCAGUCUUCUGGAGACUUGAGAUCAGCAUAUGCUCCCGCUUCCGAUGAAGGUCUUUUCGAGAUCCAGUCCUCUGGGGACCUACGAUCAGCCUCUACUACUGCAACCGAUGAAGGCCUCUUUGGUACCCAGUCUUCUGGAGACUUGAGAUCAGCGGAUGCUCCCACUUCAGAUGACGCUCUUUUCGCGAUCCAGUCCUCUUGGAACCUACCAUCAGUAUCUACUACUGCAACCGAUGAAGGCCUCUCUGGUACCGAUUCCUCUGGAGACUUGAGGUCAGCAUAUGUUCCCACUUCCAAUGAAGGCCUUUUCGCGAUCCAGUCCAGUGGCGACCUACGGUCAGCAUCUACCACUGCUACCAAUGAAGACCUCUUUGGUACAUAAUCAUCUGGGGACCUACGAUCAGCAUCUACUACUGCAACCAAUGAAGGACUCUUUGGUAACCAGUCUUCUGGGGAUGUAAGGUCUGAAUUUACUAUUGUUUCUGAUGAAGGCCUCUUUGUGACCCAGUCUUCUGCCAACUCAAGAUCACUAUCUAUGACUGCAACCGAUGAAGGCUUCUUUGUGACCCAGUCUUUUGGUGACUCGAGAUCAGCAUAUUCCUCUGCCUCUGAUGAAGGUCUCAUUGUGAUCCAAUCUUCUAAGGACUUAAAAUCAACAUUUACUGCUGUCUCAGAAGAAGGCCUCUUUGCCACCCAGUCUUCUGGUGAUUUAAGAUCAGCAUGUACUGUUGUCUCAGAAGAAGGCCUCUUUGCCAACCAGUCUUCUGGUGAUUUACGAUCAGCACCUACAGUUGCCUCAGAAGAAGGCCUCUUUGUCACCCAGUCUGGCGAUUUUAGAUCAACACAUGCUGUUGUCUCAGAAGAAGACCUCUUCGUCACCCAGUCUUCUGGUGAUUUUAGAUUAGCACGUGCUGUUGCCUCAGAAGAAGGCCUCUUCGCCACCCAAUCUUCUGGUGAUUUAGGAUCAGCACAUUCUGUUGUCUCAGAAGAAGGCCUCUUUGCCAACCAGUCUUCUGGUGAUUUAAGACCAUCUACUGUUGUGUCAAAUAAAGGCCUCAUUUUCAUCCAUUCUUCUGAGAACUUAAUUUCAGCAUCUACUCCUGAAACUGAUGAAGGACUCCUUGGUUGCCAGUCUUCUGGUGACAUAAAUUCAGCAUAUGCGUCCUCUUCUGAUGAAGGCCUUUUUGUAAACCAGUCGUUUGGUGACUUCAAUGUAACAUUUGGUUUUAGUGAAGGCCUCGUGGCGUCCAUGUCUUCUGGUAACAUGUAGCUUGUAGAAGCAGGGAUUGGGGAGAAUCCACACUCUGUCGAAUCUGGCAAACCUACUGCAACGACAGCUUGGUCAUUGAGCCUUGAGGUGUCUGUGCAAGCUAAAUCACAUGCUAUAUUGAUACUCUGAAUGGAUUCUGUUGAAAACAUUGCAGGGUAACCACUUGGUGUCUGAGUAGAAUGUUCUAAUCUGCUGGGGAAACUUAAAGACUGGAGUAAUUUAAUGUCAGCAGCCGGAUCAUCAGUUCCUGCAUCCCUCAUUUGAGACUCCACUGACACUUCCGACAAACCAGGACAAUGACACAUGUCCUCCGUUGCCUCUUGAUCCAAGACAUCUGGAGGUCUCUCACUUUUGUUGUCACUCGUGCUCAUAAUGUUUGAAGCACAUGAACUUUGAGUCUGUGCAUCAUCCAGUGUGGGAGAAAGGCUGGAAAUGGAUUCUAUCUCCGACUUAAAGGGCUCCUCCUCUUUUUUGGCGUUCUCCUCAUCUGAAGUAGACUGCAAGGUGGACUUCAUUUUUUCGACAAUGAUUUUGCCGGCAGAGUCAAUGGUGUCAACAACAGGGUUAAUUACUUGGAGGACCAAAUUUUUGGCCUGACCUAGGAAGGAAGUGGGUGAGGAGGAAGGAGAAGCCAAGUCGGCCUCAGAGGGAGAAAGGGAGCCAUCCAAUGUUUGGGAAAACGUGGAAGUCUCUUCUGUCUGCAGGUCAUCAAAGCUAUCCGGAUGAAUAUAUUGCUCGUCUGUACAGCCGCUCAGAUCCUCCUCAAAUAUUCCUGUAUCGUCCUCUUCUUCAGGGUCCAAAAAAUCAGAGUCUUGUGCUUUCUUGGUUAUCACGGCCGUCGUCCUCGCAAAUAUUCCCAGUGAAGUGGUACCAGAGCACAAGUCCUCUUCCCGCUCAGCAAACAUUAUGCGCUCAGAGAAAAAGUUCUUCAGGUAAUUUUUUAUCUUCUGCUGGGUGACAACGCCAUAUGACGCCUCGUCUAUGCAACAGUCCGACAUGGCGCGCUCCUCUGCGUCCCAGUGAGUGAUGAGCUGCCGCAACUUGGCAAUGUCCACGCUGCUCUUCUCCACAAUGCUCUUGAUGAUGCUGUUGAUCUUGUCAUCCCUCUCUUUGUCCUUCAGGCUUAAAAUGGUAUUCUGGUAAAGAAAUACAAUCAUCUAAUCAGCAUGCAGAUCCUUUCCACACCUUUCAAAGCUAAUUGACUGUACAAUAACAAGGAGGUAUUGAUAUAAAUAUGCUUGUUUGUAAGGUUUGUUCGUUACCUGGCCCUGGUGAGAACUUCUCACAGCCUCACCGAACAUCCCUCGUUGUGCAAAACAAUCUUUUAUGUGCUGUUGAAUCUUCUCAAGGGUGAGGAUGCCAUCUACUGGCCCGUUUGUGGCACCCUCACUGCUCAUCUCGGAGCACCUCAGGUUACCGUUGUUCAUGUUUGGUGGCACUCUUCAGAAACUAUUUCCUUUCAGGGGUGACGCGUCUAUAGAUUAUUGCUGUUAGUUUACCCCCCGCGAUCACAAACCUUUCUUUCUCCUCUUCGAUCUGAGCCGUCAAAAUGGCAUCAGGAUAUGACAUCGGCACUCUUGGUCAUGAAGGGUUGACAUCACACUUUGUCAUUAAGGCAUGCCAGCCAGCAGACUUUGUCAUCAAGGUAUGACACUCUUGAGCGCCUCCUGCCAGGCAGUCUCAUUCAAAGCAUGCGGUCCAAAUUGACAACCCAGUUGCCUGACGGUUCAUAUCAUUGCAUCAAAGAUGUUUACUAGAGCCUAUAUAAAACAGUUGCUUCAUGUGCUAGCUUGACAAAUUCAUACUAAUGUGAUUGUACGGCAGGGGUCAAUAUUGCGGUGUCCACGGGCACCAGAUAGCCCACUAUGAGCGCAUGAGCUGCCUGCGAGCCUGGUUUUUAUUCAGGUUUGCAGUUACUAAUGUGAGAUACACUAGAAAGAAUUGCAUUCUGAAAUAUGCAGGUGGACAAAAAUAAAUUGCUGAUGCUUUAAUAGAAAAUGUGAGUUGUGGAUACCAACAUGUUGAUAUUCUGGUAAAACAAGCAUAUUCAGCUUGUUUGGGUUGAAAUAAGCUAGAAAAUAAAUGUUACAAAAAUGAGUAGCUCUCGGCCAUUUUCAUCUCAUGAAUGUAGCUCUCACAAAAAAGUUUGGAGACCCAUGUAGAGGAAUUUUCCAUACUCCAUAAAUCAAUAUUGACAUCAUAGAGCAUUACUUACUUUUGUUGCACUUUUCUAAACAGUUUCCAAUGAGU